rnacentral:rRNA from 1 species
AGCGAACGCUGGCGGCAGGCUUAACACAUGCAAGUCGAGCGGGCGUAGCAAUACGUCAGCGGCAGACGGGUGAGUAACGCGUGGGAACAUACCUUUUGGUUCGGAACAACACAGGGAAACUUGUGCUAAUACCGGAUAAGCCCUUAGGGGGAAAGAUUUAUCGCCGAAAGAUUGGCCCGCGUCUGAUUAGCUAGUUGGUGAGGUAAUGGCUCACCAAGGCGACGAUCAGUAGCGGUCUGAGAGGAUGAUCAGCCACAUUUGGGACUGAGACACGGCCCAAACUCCUACGGGAGGCAGCAGUGGGGAAUAUUGGACAAUGGGCGCAAGCCUGAUCCAGCCAUGCCGCGUUGAGUGAUGAAGGCCCUAGGGUUGUAAAGCUC